GCUUUGAGAGCAUUUCAGACAGCUUUAAAAGCAGAGGAAACAUCCAAAGAACUUUCUGGAGGCUCCAUCUCCUAGGAGAUGAGCAGUUGGAUCUGCGUCCUCCCUGCAUCUCUCCAGGAUUCUUGGCUAAUUAAUGGUUUUGCAACAUUGAGCUGUGCCCUCCUUUCAGUUGGCUGCCUGGAUGUGCCCAUCAGUACUGACCAAUCGGGCUUGAACUUUGAACAUCAUCUGAUCUGGUAUUUUUAGAA